AAAUACUGCAUGUUUGCUUUUGUCCUCGUUUGUAAGUUGCUUUGGAUAAAAGCGUCUGCUAAAUGACUAAAUGUAAAAGUAAUGCUUUAGAGCGUCUAUAAAGUCACUGCAGACAAACACACAGCAGUCUGUGUUCUUCAGAUAUUUACACACGUGUGUUUGUGAUUGAUGUGUUUAUCUGCAUCACGUCAGCAUGUUCUCGUCUGAGUCUGAAGAUAAAUCAUUAAUUAAACUCCAGACUCGGCUGUUAGCAGCUUUACAUUUUCUGUCCGUUCAGCUGAAAUUGAUCUCAGUAGGGUGGAACGUUGCAGAUUUCUGAUUAUUUGGCGACGGGCCGCGAGAUGCCAAGAGACACGGCCAAGAGCCUCCGACAGAUGUCCCACAAAUGCCACUUAAUACUGAACCAAGACACCACUCAGAAGCCUUUAAUCCACAUCUGUGGCCAUUUAAUAUGGUGAGAAAUGACGAGUAAAGUUACCGGCUUUACCUGAACUUUAGCUGUAAAGAACAUAUGUGAACCUUUCACUGCUGGUUUGAACAACAUUUCGAGUCUUUGUUUACAUACAGUACAUGAAAUGAAGCUCAAGAUAGAAACAAAUUCCAUCCAGAUCAGCGUCCAUCGGGGGAUUUGAUCUAUAAAUAACUCGGUUGUUUAUGUCAAAGCAUCUCCUUGUGUGCU
ensembl:lncRNA